GAUGAACGCUAGCGGCAGGCUUAACACAUGCAAGUCGAGGGGCAGCAUGACACGGAGAUUCGUCGAAGUGUUGAUGGCGACCGGCGCAAGGGUGCGUAACGCGUGAGCAACUUGCCCGUUUCUGGGGAAUAACCGGUGGAAACGCCGACUAAUACCCCAUAGUAUAACGAAGAGGCAUCUUUUUGUUAUUAAAGAACUUCGGAAACGGAUAGGCUCGCGUGACAUUAGCUAGAUGGCGGGGUAACGGCCCACCAUGGCGACGAUGUCUAGGGGUUCUGAGAGGAAGGUCCCCCACAUUGGAACUGAGACACGGUCCAAACUCCUACGGGAGGCAGCAGUGAGGAAUAUUGGUCAAUGGACGCAAGUCUGAACCAGCCAAGUAGCGUGCAGGAUGACGGCCCUAUGGGUUGUAAACUGCUUUAUGUGGGAAUAAAGUCAGGGACGUGUCCCUGUUUGCAUGUACCACAGGAAUAAGGACCGGCUAAUUCCGUG
rnacentral:rRNA from 1 species